ACAGACAGCUGUAUAAAAAAAGUUGUCAAUAAUGAAAAAGAAUAGCAAACAAACAUACAUCCAUAUUUUUGUUUGUAUUGACUUGAACAGGCAAUAUAAAUGCUAAUAUAUUAUGUAGAUUUAUUACAUUUGAAAAUAUACUGUCGAGGUUAAAUUAUAUAAACACGCUUAACACAUUUAGUUGUAUUUGUAAAAAUAUUUCGAAAUAAUUAAGGCGUGUACAAUGAAGAUUUUCUUUUUUCUUUUUUUAAUCGUCAUUAUUAAUUGCAAUGGAGAUACAGACUCUCAAGAUAUAUGUGACUUAAAACUGUAUAUCGGACCUUGCAAAGCAAAUACUAUAAGAUAUGGAUUCGAUAAUGACCUAAAGCAGUGUAGAAAAUUUAUAUACGGCGGUUGUCAAGGGAAUG